ACACCACACGGGACACACACACAUCAGGGGGUCCUCACACCACACCACACACACGGGGUCCUCACACCACACGGGACACACACACAUCAGGGGGUCCUCACACCACACGGGACACACACACAUCAGGGGGUCCUCACACCACACGGGACACACACACGUCAGGGGGUCCUCACACCACACAGGACACACACACAUCAGGGGGUCCUCACACCACACGGGACACACACACAUCAGGGGGUCCUCACACCACACAGGACACCAGGGCAGCUCCAUUAUGGGAAGAAUCAGAAUCAUGAUGAUUUUGGUCAACAUUGAAAUCUCGAUUAUUCAAACGAUUAUUUUUCAGGUUGAAAACAUGAUGCAUUUAUUCAUCAUUUCUCUUUAAAAAGAAACACUUUGUAAAUGAGAACUUUGAAACUUCUAUGUCCAGAUAUGGAUCAAGCUGUUCUGCAAUUUCUAUAAAGAAAGAAAAUAAUAAUAAUAUUGUUUCAACUCGAUUAUAUUAGUUUGGUGAUCGUUACACGCUGAAAUCGAAAUGGCCCAGCCCUAGGUGACACCACACCACCAGGGGACACCACCCGGGGACACCACCCGGGGACACCACACUCACCCGGCUGGCGUUGGUUCCUCUCCUGGCGGCGACAGCGACUGCUCCGGACACGACAAACUGCGGGGACAAGGCAGCGGUGGGAGGGAGAAGGAGAUCCCUGAUGCACACUGAUGUUAAGAGCUGAGAUCCCUUCUAAAGGUCCCGUGACACCCCACCAGGCCUGGUGGGGUUAGCCGUUACACGCAGUUUGGAAAAUCUGCCUCUUGUGGCAUCACAAGUGGGCGUGUCCACCUAGAUGUGUGGUAGAUAGACCAGUCGGCCAGCCUUCCCAGUGCCCUGUAGCAAACGUUGCUCAUCUAUCCAUCACUCACACCCGGUGGCAUGUCAUGGGACAUUUAAAUGUUAACCCAGAAAUAAUUCAUCUAAAUUCAUCGACACUCAUCUGUGAAAUCCUGUUAGCUGCUUCCCUCACCGAUAAUAAUGCAGCUCAUUCAGGCCACACACACACACACACACACACACACACACACACACACACACACACACACACACACACACACACACACACACACACACACACACACACACACACACACACACACUUACAAUGAUACUGGCGAGGAGGGGCAGCGACAUGAUCUGGCUGGGAUCCAGGAAGCCAAUCAGACCGCUGCACACACACACCGCGCCAAUGAACAUCUGUGCAAUCUGAGGCCACACACACACACACACACACACACACACACACACACACACACACACACACACACACACACACACACACACACACACACACACACACACAUGGGGACAAACAUUAAUGGGGACAAUCUGAAGACACAAAUGCGCACACACACAAUUAUAUAUCUUCAGUAUAAAUUAUGCUACACUUGAACCUCCUAAAAUGGCGCAAUUUAAUUGGUUUGCUAUCUCUGGAUAUUGGGCAAUAACCCACGAUUGAGAGCUCAAACACGGGAUAUUGUUUUCAUCGCAAAAUGUCG
ensembl:lncRNA